UUAAGUUCAGCGGGUAGUCCUACCUGAUUUGAGAUCAAACAUUUAAAAGAGCUGUCCUCACCGAGGAGAGACGUUUAUGAGCCCCAGUGAACCCCCAUUACUGAAGGUUACUUGAUGGAAAGCCACAAGUGUAGAUAGUUAUCACACCUGCGAUCCCACCAAACACUGGCAAGCUGAUUCUUUUGAGAGGAGCUGACCCA
rnacentral:misc_RNA from 1 species